GAUGAACGCUGGCGGCGUGCCUAAUACAUGCAAGUCGAGCGAACAGACGAGGAGCUUGCUCCUCUGACGUUAGCGGCGGACGGGUGAGUAACACGUGGAUAACCUACCUAUAAGACUGGGGUAACUUCGGGAAACCGGAGCUAAUACCGGAUAAUAUAUUGAACCGCAUGGUUCAAUAGUGAAAGACGGUUUUGCUGUCACUUAUAGAUGGAUCCGCGCCGCAUUAGCUAGUUGGUGAGGUAACGGCUUACCAAGGCAACGAUGCGUAGCCGACCUGAGAGGGUGAUCGGCCACACUGGAACUGAGACACGGUCCAGACUCCUACGGGAGGCAGCAGUAGGGAAUCUUCCGCAAUGGGCGAAAGCCUGACGGAGCAACGCCGCGUGAGUGAUGAAGGUCUUCGGAUCGUAAAACUCUGUUAUUAGGGAAGAACAAAUGUGUAAGUAACUAUGCACGUCUUGACGGUACCUAAUCAGAAAGCCACGGCUAACUACGUG
rnacentral:rRNA from 1 species